UACGAAGGGGGCUAGCGUUGCUCGGAAUCACUGGGCGUAAAGGGUGCGUAGGCGGAUUUCUAAGUCAGGGGUGAAAUCCCGAGGCUCAACCUCGGAACUGCCUUUGAUACUGGGGAUCUUGAGUCCGGAAGAGGUGAGUGGAACUGCGAGUGUAGAGGUGAAAUUCGUAGAUAUUCGCAAGAACACCGGUGGCGAAGGCGGCUCACUGGUCCGGAACUGACGCUGAGGCACGACAGCGUGGGGGAGCAAACAGG
rnacentral:rRNA from 1 species